UAUGACCUGGGCUACAAACGUGCUACAAUGGACAGAACAAAGGGCUGCGAGACCGCAAGGUUUAGCCAAUCCCACAAAUCUGUUCUCAGUUCGGAUCGCAGUCUGCAACUCGACUGCGUGAAGCUGGAAUCGCUAGUAAUCGCGGAUCAGCAUGCCGCGGUGAAUACGUUCCCGGGCCUUGUACACACCGCCCGUCACACCACGAGAGUUUGCAACACCCGAAGUCGGUGAGGUAACCUUUAUGGAGCCAGCCGCCGAAGGUGGGGCAGAUGAUUGGGGUGAAGUCGUAACAAGGUAGCCGUAUCGGAAGGUGCGGCUGGAUCACCUCCUU
rnacentral:rRNA from 1 species